rnacentral:rRNA from 1 species
CCUACGGGAGGCAGCAGUGGGGAAUAUUGCACAAUGGGCGGAAGCCUGAUGCAGCGACGCCGCGUGAGGGAUGACGGCCUUCGGGUUGUAAACCUCUUUCAGUAGGGAAGAAGCGAAAGUGACGGUACCUGCAGAAGAAGCGCCGGCUAACUACGUGCCAGCAGCCGCGGUAAUACGUAGGGCGCAAGCGUUAUCCGGAAUUAUUGGGCGUAAAGAGCUCGUAGGCGGUUUGUCGCGUCUGCCGUGAAAGUCCGGGGCUCAACUCCGGAUCUGCGGUGGGUACGGGCAGACUAGAGUGAUGUAGGGGAGACUGGAAUUCCUGGUGUAGCGGUGAAAUGCGCAGAUAUCAGGAGGAACACCGAUGGCGAAGGCAGGUCUCUGGGCAUUAACUGACGCUGAGGAGCGAAAGCAUGGGGAGCGAACAGGAUUAGAUACCCUGGUAGUCCAUGCCGUAAACGUUGGGCACUAGGUGUGGGGGACAUUCCACGUUUUCCGCGCCGUAGCUAACGCAUUAAGUGCCCCGCCUGGGGAGUACGGCCGCAAGGCAAAACUCAAAUGAAUUGACGG